rnacentral:rRNA from 1 species
CCAAUAGCGUAUAUUAAAGUUGUUGCAGUUAAAAAGCUCGUAGUUGAAUUUCGGGAUCAAGGAAUCGGUCAUGCCUUGGUAUGUACUGGUUUUAUUGGUUCUCACCUUCUAAAGAACCAUAACGUCAUUUAUUUGAUGUUAUGGGGAAUUAGGACUGUUACCUUGAAAAAAUUAGAGUGUUUAAAGCAAGCUUACGCUUGAAUACAUUAGCAUGGAAUAAUGAAAUAGGACAUCAGAUUCUAUUUUGUUGGUUUCUAGGACCGAUGUAAUGAUUAAUAGGGAUAGUUGGGGGCAUUAGUAUUCAAUUGUCAGAGGUGAAAUUCUUGGAUUUAUUGAAGACUAACUACUGCGAAAGCAUUUGCCAAGGAUGUUUUCAUUAAUCAAGAACGAAAGUUAGGGGAUCGAAGACGAUCAGAUACCGUCGUAGUCUUAACCAUAAACUAUGCCGACUAGGGAUCGGAUGAUGUUAAUUUUUUAAUGACUCAUUCGGCACCUUACG